rnacentral:rRNA from 1 species
GAUGAACGCUGGCGGCGUGCCUAAUACAUGCAAGUCGAGCGAACAGACGAGGAUCUUGCUCCUCUGACGUUAGCGGCGGACGGGUGAGUAACACGUGGAUAACCUACCUAUAAGACUGGGAUAACUUCGGGAAACCGGAGCUAAUACCGGAUAAUAUAUUGAACCGCAUGGUUCAAUAGUGAAAGACGGUUUUGCUGUCACUUAUAGAUGGAUCCGCGCCGCAUUAGCUAGUUGGUAAGGUAACGGCUUACCUAGGCAACGAUGCGUAGCCGACCUGAGAGGGUGAUCGGCCACACUGGAACUGAGACACGGUCCAGACUCCUACGGGAGGCAGCAGUAGGGAAUCUUCCGCAAUGGGCGAAAGCCUGACGGAGCAACGCCGCGUGAGUGAUGAAGGUCUUCGGAUCGUAAAACUCUGUUAUUAGGGAAGAACAAAUGUGUAAGUAACUAUGCACGUCUUGACGGUACCUAAUCAGAAAGCCACGGCUAACUACGUG